ACUAUUUUCUGGCCUUCUCCCGCGUACUGCUCCCAGAGAAGGGACAGGAUCCAGCACGCCCGGGAGCAGCGGAGCCUCGGCCUCCGAGGUGCAGGAGUGGGACGAGAGCGAAACCCUCAGAAGACUUUCCAAAACCUUCUUCAGAAAGCUGUAAACUAACACCUGUCUAUGAAGUUAAGCGGAGUUAAUCAGUCUAAGAGGUGAUGAAAUCAGUGCCCAAUGUGAAGUCAGGAUCAGAGGGCAAAGAAGAGAACCCAAACAGCCAGACCUUUGCAGUAUGAAUUCAAGAUUUAUUCAAUAGAUCAUGAAUUGCUGGGUCCUCAGUCACUCCCAAUUUAAAACCAAGAAGAGGAAAAUGACGAACAGUAUAAUUGGAAUUGCAUGCAACAUUUCAAGAGAGUGGGAUAAUCUCUGUUACUUAAGAAUUGGUAUCGGGGCGCCUGGAUGGCUCAGUUGGUUGAGUGUCCGACUUCA